GAAACCUCAUCUUCGGUCGCGCCAUCCGGGGCGUAGACCAGUGUUUUUUAACACGAGCGUCCGCUCGGAUGAGGAGAGAGA
rnacentral:ncRNA from 1 species